GUGGGGAAUAUUGGACAAUGGGCGAAAGCCUGAUCCAGCCAUGCCGCGUGUGUGAAGAAGGUCUUCGGAUUGUAAAGCACUUUAAGUUGGGAGGAAGGGCAGUAAGUUAAUACCUUGCUGUUUUGACGUUACCGACAGAAUAAGCACCGGCUAACUCUGUGCCAGCAGCCGCGGUAAUACAGAGGGUGCAAGCGUUAAUCGGAAUUACUGGGCGUAAAGCGCGCGUAGGUGGUUCGUUAAGUUGGAUGUGAAAGCCCCGGGCUCAACCUGGGAACUGCCUCCAAAACUGCAUGACUAGAGUACGGUAGAGGGUAGUGGAAUUUCCUGUGUAGCGGUGAAAUGCGUAGAUAUAGGAAGGAACACCAGUGGCGAAGGCGACUACCUGGACUGAUACUGACACUGAGGUGCGAAAGCGUGGGGAGCAAACAGGAUUAGAAACCCCGGUAGUCC
rnacentral:rRNA from 1 species